UACGUAUGUCACAAGCGUUAUCCGGAUUUAUUGGGCGUAAAGCGCGUCUAGGUGGUUAUGUAAGUCUGAUGUGAAAAUGCAGGGCUCAACUCUGUAUUGCGUUGGAAACUGCACAACUAGAGUACUGGAGAGGUAAGCGGAACUACAAGUGUAGAGGUGAAAUUCGUAGAUAUUUGUAGGAAUGCCGAUGGGGAAGCCAGCUUACUGGACAGAUACUGACGCUAAAGCGCGAAAGCGUGGGUAGCAAACAGG
rnacentral:rRNA from 1 species